rnacentral:lncRNA from 1 species
GGGCCAUUAUUCAAGCAAAGGAACCUAGGUCUCAUUAUAAAUUCAAGCACAUCCUCAGACGCUUCAACCUCGUUCGAGAAAUUAUAGAGAGACAAGAUGUUGUCUUUGAACGAGUAGAUACAAAGAACAAUAUAGUAGACCCAUUCACUAAUGUCAUACCAUAGCGAUUGACUUUAGUAUAAGUGGAAGAUUGAAAGAAGAGUGCCCUAUAAGCCAAUCGCAAGUGUGUUGUGAUGGGACUUUUCUUUGCAAUUUUCUAACUUAUGUAAUG